rnacentral:tRNA from 1 species
GCCGGAAUGGCUCAGUGGUAGAGCGUCGCACUCGUAUGACUGCGUAAUGCGAAGGCCCACGGUUCGAUCCCGUGUUUCGGCA